rnacentral:rRNA from 1 species
AGUGAACGCUGGCGGUAGGCCUAACACAUGCAAGUCGAACGGCAGCACAGUAAGAGCUUGCUCUUAUGGGUGGCGAGUGGCGGACGGGUGGGGAAUACAUCGGAAUCUACUUUUUCGUGGGGGAUAACGUAGGGAAACUUACGCUAAUACCGCAUACGACCUUCGGGUGAAAGCAGGGGACCUUCGGGCCUUGCGCGAUUGAAUGAGCCGAUGUCGGAUUAGCUAGUUGGCGGGGUAAAGGCCCACCAAGGCGACGAUCCGUAGCUGGUCUGAGAGGAUGAUCAGCCACACUGGAACUGAGACACGGUCCAGACUCCUACGGGAGGCAGCAGUGGGGAAUAUUGGACAAUGGGCGCAAGCCUGAUCCAGCCAUACCGCGUGGGUGAAGAAGGCCUUCGGGUUGUAAAGCCCUUUUGUUGGGAAAGAAAAGCAGCGGGCUAAUACCCA